AACCUAGCACACCUGCGGUGUGUACCUGCGGAGGGAUCAUUAUAGAAUUGUUCGAAUCCAUACGGACACAUUCUUAAAAUCCGUAUCCACACCGGCAGGGCUUUCGGGCCUUUGCCGUAGGGUUCCUCUUUUCUCUUUCUCUGUAAGGGAGAGAGAGGGGGGUUCCUGUCUGACCUUUGCCUAUAAUUUUAAUCUUGUCUGAACUUUUUAUUUUAUUAUAAAAUAAAAACAACUUUCAAC
rnacentral:misc_RNA from 1 species